GGGUGAGAGGAGGGGCCCAUUCAGAUAGUUGGGCGGAGCUUAGAAUUUAUUUUUGGUUUACAGAUUGAAUAAAUCACAUGUUGCUGCGCAGCCACAAAGUCCGAGGAACUCUUCCAAGCAUGGAGACUCAUAAAAGUCAUUGGAAUGAAAAUGGCAUUAGAUACUUCUCUUGCAAAGCACAGGUCAAGACACGUGGAGUACUGCAUUACUUUGAUUUUCUGAUAAUGCAUUUCUUAUGGAUAUUUUUGCAAUUCUCAUGAAAUACUGGAAAAUACUAGAAGGUUCUAGGCCUGGUGCCUGCUUCGAGAGGAAGGAAUUGGGAAUGAUUUAGAUUAUCUCAUUGGAUGCAGUCAGCAGCAGGGUUCUGGGCUGCACUACUGCACAACCUUGGUUUAACUUGGAAACAUGUGCUGUCUACAUCAAAGGGCAGAGACUCUAAAGUGUAGGAAUUCAUAUUCAGCACCAUUCAUCAGAUCUGCCAGGAUGACUGUUGUGACGCUCACAAACCCUGCUUGGCACACAGUGAUGAAAGAGGGUUUCAGAGCCAAGAAGGAGUUUCAGAGUAAUAAGAGCAGCAGAGAGGAAACCCAGGCAUUGAUGGACAAAAACGAGGACUUUGCUCUAUUCGUUGGUGGUGAAUCUGGUGAGACGGUGAAGAGUGGGCAGGGCUCAGCCCUUGGAAAGCAGCUGUGUGGUCACAGAGAAAAGCAGCACUGCUUCAUCCUCCUUAUGGGUGCAUGA
rnacentral:lncRNA from 1 species